rnacentral:rRNA from 1 species
AGGGCGCACGGUGGAUGCCUUGGCACUAGAAGCCGAUGAAGGACGUUACUAACGACGAUAUGCUUUGGGGAGCUGUAAGUAAGCUUUGAUCCAGAGAUUUCCGAAUGGGGAAACCCAGCAUGAGUUAUGUCAUGUUAUCGAUAUGUGAAUACAUAGCAUAUCAGAAGGCACACCCGGAGAACUGAAACAUCUUAGUACCCGGAGGAAGAGAAAGAAAAUUCGAUUCCCUUAGUAGCGGCGAGCGAAACGGGAAGAGCCCAAACCAACAAGCUUGCUUGUUGGGGUUGUAGGACACUCUAUACGGAGUUACAAAGGACGACAUUAGACGAAUCAUCUGGAAAGAUGAAUCAAAGAAGGUAAUAAUCCUGUAGUCGAAAAUGUUGUCUCUCUUGAGUGGAUCCUGAGUACGACGGAGCACGUGAAAUUCCGUCGGAAUCUGGGAGGACCAUCUCCUAAGGCUAAAUACUCUCUAGUGACCGAUAGUGAACCAGUACCGUGAGGGAAAGGUGAAAAGCACCCCGGAAGGGGAGUGAAAUAGAACCUGAAACCGUGUGCUUACAAGUAGUCAGAGCCCGUUAAUGGGUGAUGGCGUGCCUUUUGUAGAAUGAACCGGCGAGUUACGAUUUGAUGCAAGGUUAAGCAGUAAAUGUGGAGCCGUAGCGAAAGCGAGUCUGAAUAGGGCGUUUAGUAUUUGGUCGUAGACCCGAAACCAGGUGAUCUACCCUUGGUCAGGUUGAAGUUCAGGUAACACUGAAUGGAGGACCGAACCGACUUACGUUGAAAAGUGAGCGGAUGAACUGAGGGUAGCGGAGAAAUUCCAAUCGAACCUGGAGAUAGCUGGUUCUCUCCGAAAUAGCUUUAGGGCUAGCCUCAAGUGAUGAUUAUUGGAGGUAGAGCACUGUUUGGACGAGGGGCCCCUCUCGGGUUACCGAAUUCAGACAAACUCCGAAUGCCAAUUAAUUUAACUUGGGAGUCAGAACAUGGGUGAUAAGGUCCGUGUUCGAAAGGGAAACAGCCCAGACCACCAGCUAAGGUCCCAAAAUAUAUGUUAAGUGGAAAAGGAUGUGGCGUUGCCCAGACAACUAGGAUGUUGGCUUAGAAGCAGCCAUCAUUUAAAGAGUGCGUAAUAGCUCACUAGUCGAGUGACACUGCGCCGAAAAUGUACCGGGGCUAAACAUAUUACCGAAGCUGUGGAUUGUCCUUUGGACAAUGGUAGGAGAGCGUUCUAAGGGCGUUGAAGCAUGAUCGUAAGGACAUGUGGAGCGCUUAGAAGUGAGAAUGCCGGUGUGAGUAGCGAAAGACGGGUGAGAAUCCCGUCCACCGAUUGACUAAGGUUUCCAGAGGAAGGCUCGUCCGCUCUGGGUUAGUCGGGUCCUAAGCUGAGGCCGACAGGCGUAGGCGAUGGAUAACAGGUUGAUAUUCCUGUACCACCUAUAAUCGUUUUAAUCGAUGGGGGGACGCAGUAGGAUAGGCGAAGCGUGCGAUUGGAUUGCACGUCUAAGCAGUAAGGCUGAGUAUUAGGCAAAUCCGGUACUCGUUAAGGCUGAGCUGUGAUGGGGAGAAGACAUUGAGUCUUCGAGUCGUUGAUUUCACACUGCCGAGAAAAGCCUCUAGAUAGAAAAUAGGUGCCCGUACCGCAAACCGACACAGGUAGUCAAGAUGAGAAUUCUAAGGUGAGCGAGCGAACUCUCGUUAAGGAACUCGGCAAAAUGACCCCGUAACUUCGGGAGAAGGGGUGCUCUUUAGGGUUAACGCCCAGAAGAGCCGCAGUGAAUAGGCCCAAGCGACUGUUUAUCAAAAACACAGGUCUCUGCUAAACCGUAAGGUGAUGUAUAGGGGCUGACGCCUGCCCGGUGCUGGAAGGUUAAGAGGAGUGGUUAGCUUCUGCGAAGCUACGAAUCGAAGCCCCAGUAAACGGCGGCCGUAACUAUAACGGUCCUAAGGUAGCGAAAUUCCUUGUCGGGUAAGUUCCGACCCGCACGAAAGGCGUAACGAUUUGGGCACUGUCUCAACGAGAGACUCGGUGAAAUCAUAGUACCUGUGAAGAUGCAGGUUACCCGCGACAGGACGGAAAGACCCCGUGGAGCUUUACUGUAGCCUGAUAUUGAAAUUCGGCACAGCUUGUACAGGAUAGGUAGGAGCCUUUGAAACGUGAGCGCUAGCUUACGUGGAGGCGCUGGUGGGAUACUACCCUAGCUGUGUUGGCUUUCUAACCCGCACCACUUAUCGUGGUGGGAGACAGUGUCAAGCGGGCAGUUUGACUGGGGCGGUCGCCUCCUAAAAGG